rnacentral:lncRNA from 1 species
CCAACAUAGAGAUCCUUGCGCUCCACCCACUGUGGUAAGUGUGACCUUCGUUUACACAGGAAGGAUCUCGGUGUCACUGUGGGCUGUGGCUGUUUUCUCCUCUGUGAGUCACCUGUUCCCAGUUAUUUUGCCUGAGCACAGGAUUCCCAUCUCAACAUUUGCACCGGCCAACAGAUCUACCCUUCGACCUCCAGGUGGUACCCAUGGAGAUCGGAGGACAGCGGUGUCAGGAGCCAGUUCUCUUCUUCCAUCAAGUGGGUUCCAUUGAUCCCACUCUAUCUUGUCGUUCUCCACAGUAAUCACCUUUACCCACUGAGCAAUCUCCCCA